UAUUGGGUUAGAACAGUUCUAGAAGACAGGGUUAUAGGGUUAGAACAGUUCUAGAAGACAGGGUUAGAACAGUUCUAGAAGACAGUUUAGAACAGUUUAGAAACAGGGUUAGAACAGUGUUUCGAAGUUAGACAGGGUUAGAACAGUUCGAGAAGACAGGGUUAUAGGGUUAGAACCAUUCUAGAAGACAGGGUUAGACCAGUUCUAGAAGACGGGUUAGAGGGUUAGAACAGUUCUAGAGACAGGGUUAUAGGGUUAGAACAGUUCUAGAAGAAGG
rnacentral:lncRNA from 1 species